UACGUAGGGUGCGAGCGUUGUCCGGAAUUACUGGGCGUAAAGAGCUUGUAGGUGGUUUGUCGCGUUGUUCGUGAAAUCUCACGGCUUAACUGUGAGCGUGCGGGCGAUACGGGCAGACUAGAGUACUGCAGGGGAGACUGGAAUUCCUGGUGUAGCGGUGGAAUGCGCAGAUAUCAUGAGGAAGACCAGUGGCGAAGGCGGGUCUCUGGACAGUUCCUGACACUGAGACACGAAGGCCAGGGGAGCAAACGGG
rnacentral:rRNA from 1 species